rnacentral:rRNA from 1 species
UGGGGAAUAUUGCGCAAUGGGCGAAAGCCUGACGCAGCAACGCCGCGUGAGGGAUGAAGGCCUUCGGGUUGUAAACCUCUUUUAUCAGGGAAGAAGCGAAAGUGACGGUACCUGAAGAAAAAGCACCGGCUAACUACGUGCCAGCAGCCGCGGUAAUACGUAGGGUGCAAGCGUUAUCCGGAAUUAUUGGGCGUAAAGAGCUCGUAGGCGGUUUGUCGCGUCUGCUGUGAAAAUCUGAGGCUCAACCUCGGACUUGCAGUGGGUACGGGCAGACUAGAGUGCAGUAGGGGAGAAGGGAAUUCCUGGUGUAGCGGUGGAAUGCGCAGAUAUCAGGAGGAACACCAAUGGCGAAGGCACUUCUCUGGGCUGUAACUGACGCUGAGGAGCGAAAGCGUGGGGAGCGAACAGG